rnacentral:misc_RNA from 1 species
GAUGAAGAACGCAGCGAAAUGCGAUAAGUAAUGUGAAUUGCAGAAUUCAGUGAAUCAUCGAAUCUUUGAACGCACCUUGCACUCCUUGGUAUUCCGAGGAGUACGCCUGUUCGAGUGUUAUGAAGCUCUCAAAACGCAAUUGGCUUAAAACCUGAUUGUUGUUUUGGAUUUGAACUUUGCCGUGUUAUAACGGCUGGUUUUAAAAGUAUUAGCUGGUACUAGAACGAAUUGGUUCUACUCAACGUGAUAAUUAUCUGAUCGUUGAGGACAUUCCUUUCACGAGGAAUGGCCAUAGUAAAUUCAAUGGACUGCUUCUAAUCUGGCUUUAAUUCUUUAUUGGAUUAACCACUUUUCAAAUCUGACCUCGAAUCAGGUGGGACUACCCGCUGAACUUAAGCAUAUCAAUAAGCGGCGGA